AGGCCAUGAUGGGGACACUUGCGUAAUAGCUCCUUGAACCUUUCCCAUGUUUCAUACAAGGAUUCCCCGUCCUCUUGUGAGUAUGUAUUAAUUUCAGCCAUUAAUUU
rfam:Helianthus annuus linkage group 1, whole genome shotgun sequence.